AUCAGUUCAGGAGCCACCAAGCUCACGCAGAAAGGAUUCACAGGACGGCUGGUCAAGACAUUUUUGCUGCCCGCCCCGGGGUGGGGACGGAGGCCGUCAAGGUUGGGAUGAGCAUUCAGCCGAGCCGAGCCACCGCGUGCUUUCCCGCAGACAUCGGGGUUUCUGAGAACUAGGAGGGAACAGCCAAAAGAAUGGAAGCUUGGCGCCCUGAAACAAGCCUUUUGGGUCCUGAGGGAAAUCUGGGCGCCCACGGGCAGCCGUCUCCCCCACCCGCCGCUCGGCGCCCGCGAUCCGGCUGGCGCUGGCUGCAGCGUCCAGCCAGGCGGCGCGGGGAAGAGCCGGCGAUAACCCGCCCGAGCUCCGGGGAUCGACCGCGCUCUCACACCCCCCCAGUUCCCAGCGACCCCCACCGAGACUUGGAGACGACUUCAGCAAACUUGGGGAAGCAACUUUUCCCGAGGAGCUAGACUCCUGAAAGAAGGAGAGCUGAGCUAGGGACGAGGGAAAGCGAAAGAGACGGGGAGGAACGGCGACAGUCCGGGCGGGCUGGACUCCGCGGCGAGAGCGGCAGGGGAGGCGGACCCGCCCCGCGGCGAAGGGGAAGCACAAAAGCCCCGCAGCGAGUUGUGGGAGGAAAGGCGAGAAGGGGUCUGCCCGCCCUCCCUCUCCGACCCAGGGCCGUGACCCCCUGGGAGCGACCGGCUGGGUCCCAGGCCUCUGGCCAGCGGCGCCAGCGGCCAGCGCGCCCGGCCCAAGCACGGUGCGAGCGUCUCGGGGAGGCGGCGAGCGAGUCGGUGCGGAGCGCUCCGUGCGUCCGGGUGGUUCCGCGGGCCGGCGGGACCGUGCGCAUUUCAAGCGCGUGCGGGAGUGUGCGAGGCGCUGUGCGAGCUAGCGGCGGGCGCGCCAGGGUGGGAAAGGCAUCCCGAACGCAUCAGGUGCAGAGACCGGCACCCACCGAGAGCGGCCGGGAGCGCACGGCGAGCUCCGGUGUCACCGCCGGUCCCGCCGAGAGCCGAGGAGGGCCCGCAGCGCUGCAGACCCUCUGGAGCUUCCCUCCCUCCCCUGCAAAAGGGGGGUGGGGAUCAAGUCCAAUCAAGAAAAAGCCCACCACGUUUUCUCAAAGAGAAACAAAACGUAAGCAGUCCCAGUCCUGCUCCCCUCCGCCCCCAGAUCUACUCGUCAGCUCCUCCGAUUCUAGCUUCCCAGCCGGCCGGCGAAUAAACACACAAAUAAAU
rnacentral:lncRNA from 1 species